rnacentral:rRNA from 1 species
GUGCCAGCCGCCGCGGUAAUACGUAGGUGGCGAGCGUUGUCCGGAAUUACUGGGUGUAAAGGGCGUGUAGGCGGGAAGACAAGUCAGAUGUGAAAUACCGUGGCUUAACCACGGGGCUGCAUCUGAAACUGUUUUUCUUGAGUGUCGGAGAGGAAAGUGGAAUUCCCAGUGUAGCGGUGAAAUGCGUAGAUAUUGGGAGGAACACCAGUGGCGAAGGCGACUUUCUGGACGAUAACUGACGCUGAGGCGCGAAAGCGUGGGGAGCAAACAGGAUUAGAAACCCCUGUAGUCC